GUAAUGGCUGUUCAGUGGUAGAAUUCUUUCCUUCCAUGCAGGAGACCCGAGUUCGAUUCCCUGCCAAUACA
rnacentral:tRNA from 1 species